AAUAAGGGGAGGGGGGUACAAAGAUAGCCGCCACCCGUCAUCAUUCAAAAAAAACUGUUCUGGUCCUGGUGGCUACUAGGGCAAGUUUGGUAUCAUUUUCGUAUAAACCGGAGACGUAGAAUUCAUUGCUGAUAUUUGUUUUUUUCAGCUUCAUAGUAAUUUUACAAGAAAAACGUAAAAAGAUGAAAAUUUAGGAUGGAGAUAUUUGCUUUGAGAGCUAAUAACUUUUGUAUAGUGGCCAAAAAUAUCAUAUAAAAAAUACUAUAAUAAAGCGUAAUUCAUGCAGAUUCUAAACAUAUACACGUUGAGUAAUAUCCUACUGCAAAAAGAUGGUGAAAAAAUUAUUAAAUGACCGCAGCGCGGGUAGUUGGACUUUCGUUUAUCUUGCGGACCGUCGUUUAUCUUACAAAAUGAUCGAGUACGAGUAUCUACGUAGGUAUGCUUACUUUGCUAGAUUUUAUGAUGACGACUAAAAUACUUUCAUCCAUACAUAAUUCAUCAUACAGACAUAAUUUUAUGCACUUUAAUUUUAAUGCACUUGCAACGAUUUGAGUGGGGCCUAGUGUUAUUUGACCGGUGUUUUCUGUAAGGUGGAGGUAAGUACGUUCUUCCCCAGUUGGGCUCUGCUCGGAUAGAUCUGGAAUGACAUCCGCUGUGCUGUGCCCUACCACACAAAGCGAGAUGACAUUUACAGUGCUCAUACCUCUCUAUUGAACGUAGUUUAAGGAUAUACCCGGACACAAGGUCUACAAGGUUUUCCCGAAAAAUCCAAAUGUAUUCCAAUUAAUCCAGCUUUGAUCAUUCAUUUGAAGACAACUAAAAUUUCCCGAAAGUGCAAUCUAAUUUGAACCUUAAAUCGGAAUGCUAAAGUUGAAAUUCUAGUGGCGCGUAUGUGGUCGAUAAAUCGUACUAUGCCUGGAAAAGGGUUAAA